rnacentral:rRNA from 1 species
UACAGAGGGUGCGAGCGUUGUCCGGAAUCACUGGGCGUAAAGGGCGCGUAGGUGGCGCUGCAAGUCGGUGGUGAAAGCUCGCCGCUUAACGGCGAGUCGGCCAUCGAAACUGCAGGGCUGGAGCACUGUAGGGGCAGAUGGAAUUCCGGGUGUAGCGGUGGAAUGCGUAGAGAUCCGGAAGAACACCAGUGGCGAAGGCGGCUCACUGGCCCGGUACUGACGCUGAUGUGCGAAAGCGUGGGGAGCAAACAGG